GUGUCAGCAGCCGCGGUAAUACAGAGGGUGCAAGCGUUGUUCGGAAUUAUUGGGCGUAAAGGGAGUGUAGGCGGUUGUCUAAGUCUUCUGUGAAAUCUACGGGCUUAGCCUGUAACGUGCAGAGGAAACUGGGCGACUUGAGUGUCGGAGAGGAUAGGGGAAUACCCGGUGUAGAGGUGAAAUUCGUAGAGAUCGGGUGGAACACCAGUGGCGAAGGCGCCUAUCUGGCUGACAACUGACGCUGAGACUCGAAAGCAUGGGGAGCAAACAGGAUUAGAUACCCCGGUAGUCC
rnacentral:rRNA from 1 species